CGUGGUUGGAGGCGUCCGGAUAGGGGU
rnacentral:sRNA from 1 species